AAACAUUUCUAAAUGAAUUUAUAUUUAGUAAGACCUGCUCACUGAAUUCUAAAUAGCCGCGGUCACCCGUGCUAAGGUAGCAUAAUCACUUGCCUUCUAAUUAGAGGCUAGAAUGAAAGGUCAAACAUGCCUAUCCUUUUAUUAAAUUACUAACUCUAAAUUCUCUUGUUAGUAAGAAGACUAACAUCCACCAGGGGGACGACAAGACCCUGUCGAACUUUUACUAUAUGUUUAGCUGGGGUGGCCACAAACAAAAUCUUUACCUUAAUUUUCUAAACAACCCGUAAAAGGAAUUACUAAGUUACCGCAGGGAUAACAGCAUAAUUUUUUCUAAAAGACCUUAUUUAAGAAAAAGAUUGUGACCUCGAUGUUGAAUUAAUAUUCUUCUAGGGGCAAAAUUCUAGAAAGAAAGUCUGUUCGACUUUUAAAUAAUUACGUG
rnacentral:rRNA from 1 species